rnacentral:rRNA from 1 species
GGUAUUUUGACUAUACGAAGGUAUUGAAAUAAGAUUUUAAAUGAGUGCUAAGAGAAUGAUUAAACAAUUAAAAGCUUUCUUUAAUUGAAUAAUUGAAUUUAAUUUUUUAGUGCAAAAGCAAAAAUAAAAAUUAGGGACAAGAAGACCCUAUGAAUUUUUAUUAAAUUUUAUAAAACUUUAUAUAAAAUUUAAUUUAAUUGGGGUGAUGGAAAAAGAAUAAAUAUCUUUUUUUUAAAAAAAAUUGGUUCCGUUUUUAGCGAUUAAAUGAAAAAAAUACUCUAGGGAUAACAGCGUAAUAAUUUUGGAUAGUUCAUAUAGAUAAAAUAGUUUGCGACCUCGAUGUUGGAUUAGGAUUCUUUUUUGGUGAAGAAGU